AUAUGCAAGAAGUAAAUGUGAGAUAUACACUAAGUAGAAAAUAUGCAUCUGCUGCCAAGUGAGAAGCUCCCAGCAUUCAGUGUGCAGGCUUCUUUAGCCCUUUUAUCAUUGUUGUUAAGCCAUGCUUAAGCUGGGCAGCAGAAGCAGAACAUGGACUAACCUUCUGUUGCUUCCUUAGAAUUGCUCAUAUCUAGGCCAGGAUCAGCUAAGCUGUGAUCCUUCACACAUUGCUGGACUCCCGUCUUCCAUCACUCCUGACCAUUGGCUAUGCUGCCUGUGGCUGAUGGGAGUUUGAGUCCAACAAGAUCUGGAGGGCCAGAAGAAGUUAGCGCCCCCCCCCCCCACUAUGCCGUAGCCUAAAGCACAACAACCAACUCUCCUUCCUCCACCUUCUUGUCCUGUUGGGCUACCAAAUGAGGAUGAGUAAAGGGAUAAGGAGAUAAUUAAAAACAAUAAACAUUCUACUGCUUCCUCUAAGAAUAGAGCACAUUUUUGCAUUUCUCUGGAAAAACUGAAAAUUACUUAGGAGGAAGUGUGCCUUUUAGGUAAAUGCAUCUGUAAUCAGCAGGCUGGUUUUAAGCUAGGAACUGCUUACUAUUUCAGUUUUUUCUGGCUGAGCUGACAGUGAUGAACAAGCAACAGUUGGACAUCUUGUAAUGAUGCUACAAGCAACGAUUCCUUGAACAAUGCAUUGAAAUUAGAUGUCAGAUUCUAUCUUUAUUUUUUUUAACUGGUGGCUUUUGAAUUUUAAAUACCACUAAGGCCUGAUUACUGAUUCUAUUGUGGAUCUUUAAGCCUCCGAUUUCUGUGUCAUUUUUGCAUGUUGAUGCAUCUUUUGUUUGCUUAUGUGUGCCUUGUAAGCUUCUAGAUCUGCAGAUGCUCGGUUUGACUAUAGAAAAAUGGUAGUAUGUUCUCUGCUAUGGUGAUUCUGCUCAUCUUUUGCUCAUGCAGGCAUGUUUUGGAUAAUGCAGCAGGAAGCCUACGUACAAUAGAUUAAGAAUAGCACUGAACCCUGCCGCACAAUUGAAGGAAAGGAUUAAACUAAUAUGCAUCAGCAAGCUUUUUUAAAAAUAAAAUAAAAUAUUGGACAACACCAACAGCUUUUAAAUUGGGAAGGGCUAUGAAUACACAGAAAUCAAGUUUCAGACUCCAGUGCUAGUCUUAGUGAGAUUGGAUCCCUGCUGAAAUUCUAGCAAACAUUAAAUUGAAGUCAAGCGAUGUGGUGUAACAUUUUACCUAGAAUGGCACAUUCCCCACAUUGCUAACAAACUUGCAAUUAAAAAACACACCAAAUAAAUAAGCUUGUAUUAGAAAAUAACAUGCCUACUUUUUUCUUUUUUAAAAACAACAACACUUCAUUUGGGAACUAAUAACAUGACUUCUUAGUGGUAAAAACAAGAUAAAUUUUUAAUCUGUGGCAAAUGCUUGUCUGUGGUUGAAAUGUUUAUUGAACUGUGAUGCCAGUUGUAGGGAAUAUACAGCUGUAUCUCUUAGAAUCCCUUUCUCAAAGGGAUUGAAGCACAAGCGUUUUACAUGUACCUAACCUGUUCUCAGUGCUGCUAGUUCAUAGUGCAUGUGAUGAUGCUGUAGGGGAACCCCUGUAACGGUUCACAAAGCCACUGUUACAUUUAUUACAUAACCACGUCUUUGGUGCCAGUUUAUCUAUGUUAUGACUUGAGAUUUUUACAACAUUCCUGAUCUGACCAGUGUGAUGUGAUGCUUUUGUUUUCUGAUGCUGAGAAGAUCAGGGGUCAUUCUUGUUUACAAGGUUCUAAAUGGCUCCCCUCCCCCUUUGCCAAGAGUUAACACACCAUUGCACACACCCCAUCAGUGUGGAAACCCAAUCUUUUUCUUUCUCUUUCCUUUCUCUCUCUCUCCCUUUUCUCGUACAAAGCUUGUGUGUCUAAUGCAUCUGAAUUACCAAGCCAUACGCCCAACCAUGGAUGUUUUCCUUUCUUGUCCCAUCUGACAUUUCUCUGUUGCCUGAUAUUUAUAAUCCGCGCUGUGGUUUGUACAGAUGUGUUUUCCCAAGGGUUCAAUGAAAGCUAUCUCCGCAAGAUAGUAACAGCUGGGGAUGUGGCAACCUUUUGUAAAUUUGGCGUGUCUGCCACUCCCUUCUGUUUACUGCUUUUGGGAAGACAAUUCCACUAAAUAAAAUUUGCAAUCUAACACUGUGACUCUCUACAGACCUAACAUAGCAUCAAGGGAACAAAAUACUGUAAAAAAAUGCUUUUUAUGUUGUGUUUAAGUAACAAGGAUAUGACAUUUCUGGGGUUUUGCUGUCAGUGUAUUUAAGGCUUUCACGUUGGUUAAUGUUUGCUUGAAAUGUGAGUACACUCAUCGGUUGUGAAUUAUUGUACAUGAAUUUUGUAUCUGAGACCCACUCAAAUUAUAUGUACUACCAAUAUACAAUAAACAUAUUUGCUU